rnacentral:lncRNA from 1 species
AAAAAUUACAGUGAGCAAUACUUGUAUAUUAUUAGUAGCUUGAUGAUUCUUUGUAGUUUUUACUUUUUCUGUAAACAAAUAGUGUCCGAAAGUUGGAGAUGUAUAACUAAAAUAGAACGCAAAUAAUAACGCUAGAAGAAAAUAUUGAUUCUUCCCGGCAAAGUUUAUUUUAAGAUUUCCGUGUUAGUUCAUUAUGCUAAAUCAAUAUAAUUGAUCUGCAUUUGGGGGUAGGGGGUAAAAAGGGUCCGGAUCUCUAAAUCCGGGCUUAAAAAACACGAAGUCCCAAGUCCCGAAUUUAAAUAAAUUUAAAUCCUAACAUCGCGAAAAAAGAAUUCCCAGAUCCCGAAAGGGUUAAUCCCGAAAUCCCGAACUUCAUUGCAUAAUAUUAAUUUACGCACAAUCCAUGUAAAAAAAGGAAACUUGUAUGUUAUAUUUUUUAUAGCAAUCUAAAAGAAAAAAUUGCCGUGAAAAGACAAUUCCAUGAUACACAUAUCAGUGAUCAAAAGCCCGGUGUGCACGUGGUUGAACUUUAACUUGACUCCACUCACAAUAACAUUGAAUGCUAAUAAAAGAUAUUAAAGAUCGAUUUUGUCCACUGCACGAGAUUUUUAUAUGGCGGGAAAUAUCGUAACGGUAAACACAGGUGACCUUACUGAACGACCGUGGGAAAAUCCAUUCAUGAUUAAAUUUGAUGUGGAAUGAUUGACAGUGGUG